GCUGCGGUGAGGUCACCAAGGUGGCACCUGGGGCCGGAAGGUGACCUCGGCUAAGCCAGCCGCUAACUCAGGUCUAUCCCCUGCGUUGUAGCAGAGGCUCCAAGAUUCAGCAAAUAAUCUGGUGGUCCUCUCAAACAACCAUGUGAAACUGUGCUUCAGUUACAACUUCUAUAUCUGGAUUAUGACUCAGACGCAGAAUUGUUUAUUGGUCCUCAAAUGCCUCUUCAACUACCAAACAUACCCAGAAAAAAGAUAACCCCAAGCUAAUGUCCAGAUUCCGAACCAUCUUGUUUGACUGCAUCUGAUGCUUGGGACAGUUGAUUUUCACCAAAGAGUAAAGGUGAAGAGCACGGCAUCCUUUUUGUUUUUCAGUCCCUGACUCAACUCCUUUUGCAACCGUGUUCUGGGAGCCAGUGUCUCAGAUGUAUCACUUUCUGAAUACAAUCCCUCCUGUAUGUCAAACGGGCGGGAUAUUAGCCAAGACGCCCGAACUGGGCACAUACCUGAACUUCAUCAUCCUUUCGGAUGGGCAUGGAUCGAACAUUGUACUUCUGUCUCAGCUCUUUGGAAAGAGGAGAAGACAUAAUCUUCCUGCGAAUGUGGGAAGGUGCAUUGAAAUGCCUUUUACGGUUCUUGCUUCGGUCAGAAGUCACGAAGGGAUUGAA